rnacentral:rRNA from 1 species
CCUACGGGUGGCUGCAGUGGGGAAUAUUGGACAAUGGGGGCAACCCUGAUCCAGCCAUGCCGCGUGUGUGAAGAAGGCCCUCGGGUUGUAAAGCACUUUCAGUGAGGAAGAACGCCUGGUGGUUAAUACCCAUCAGGAAGGACAUCACUCACAGAAGAAGCACCGGCUAACUCCGUGCCAGCAGCCGCGGUAAUACGGAGGGUGCGAGCGUUAAUCGGAAUUACUGGGCGUAAAGCGCGCGUAGGUGGCUUGAUAAGCCGGUUGUGAAAGCCCCGGGCUCAACCUGGGAACGGCAUCCGGAACUGUCAAGCUAGAGUGCAGGAGAGGAAGGUAGAAUUCCCGGUGUAGCGGUGAAAUGCGUAGAGAUCGGGAGGAAUACCAGUGGCGAAGGCGACCUUCUGGACUGACACUGACACUGAGGUGCGAAAGCGUGGGUAGCAAACAGGAUUAGAUACCCUUGUAGUC